rnacentral:rRNA from 1 species
UGGUGGAGUGAUUUGUCUGGUUAAUUCCGUUAACGAACGAGACCUCGACCUGCUAAAUAGUGUCACUCAGUUUCGGCUGGGGUUGGGCGCUUCUUAGAGGGACUAUCGGUGUCUUAGCCGGUGGAAGUUCGAGGCAAUAACA